rnacentral:rRNA from 1 species
UACGUAGGGGGCGAGCGUUGUCCGGAUUUACUGGGCGUAAAGAGCGCGCAGGCGGCUGGUCAAGUCCGAUGUGAAGGCUCCCGGCUUAACUGGGAAAUUGCAUCGGAAACUGAUCGGCUGGAAGGUGGGAGAGGGUAGCGGAAUUCCCGGUGUAGUGGUGAAAUGCGUAGAUAUCGGGAGGAACACCAGUGGCGAAAGCGGCUACCUGGCCCAUUCUUGACGCUGAGGCGCGAAAGCUAGGGGAGCAAACGGG